rnacentral:rRNA from 1 species
UACGAAGGGGACUAGCGUUGUUCGGAAUCACUGGGCGUAAAGCGCACGUAGGCGGAUGUGUCAGUCAGGGGUGAAAUCCCGGGGCUCAACCUCGGAACUGCCUUUGAUACAGCACGUCUCGAGUCCGGAAGAGGUGGGUGGAAUUCCUAGUGUAGAGGUGAAAUUCGUAGAUAUUAGGAAGAACACCGGUGGCGAAGGCGGCCCACUGGUCUGGUACUGACGCUGAGGUGCGAAAGCGUGGGGAGCAAACAGG